rnacentral:lncRNA from 1 species
AUUAGAGUGGGGCGCUCAUAUUCGCCGUGGACACAAUUUCGCCGUUUGAGGAUUUUGAGGUGUAAAAACUUCAAAUGAUGGUUGAAAUGGAAGAAAUAUGCCAGUUAAUUAUAUUUUUUAUAACAAAUAUGAUUAUUUUUGAAAAUGAGACAAAAUUUCGGCACUUACCGCAAAGGACCGAAAAACGGACAACGAUUUUCAG